rnacentral:tRNA from 1 species
GCGCCCGUAGCGCAGUUGGAUAGCGUGCCAGACUCCGACUCUGGAGGUCAUGGGUUCGAAUCCCGUCGGGCGUACCA